UUGGGUAAACAGAUAGUUGCUGCAAAUGCAGAGGAAAGUCCGGGCUGCAGCAAGGCAGGAUUCCACCUAACUGGUGGCUGGGGUAACCCAAGGGCAAGUGCAACAGAGAGUAGACCGCCUACCUUUUGGUAGGUAAGGGUGAAAGGGUGGUGUAAGAGACCACCAGUGCUUAUGGCAACAUAAGCAGCUAGGUAAACCCAAUCCGCAGCAAGAAGCACCUGGUAUAAGCCUUGCAAUUGUGUGCUUCGCAAGAGAUAGCUAGCAAUAGCUAUCCUAGAUAAAUAACUAUCUAAUACAGAACCCGGCUUAUAGUUUACCCAAACUA
rnacentral:RNase_P_RNA from 1 species